rnacentral:rRNA from 1 species
CCCUUAGAUGUUCGGGGCCGCACGCGCGCUACACUGAAGGACUCAGCGUGUCUCUCCCCCUAUCCCGAAAGGGAUGGGCAACCCGUUGAACCUCCUUCGUGCUAGGGAUUGGGGUUUGCAAUUAUCCCCCAUGAACGAGGAAUUCCCAGUAAGCGCGAGUCAUCAGCUCGCGUUGAUUACGUCCCUGCCCUUUGUACACACCGCCCGUCGCUACUACCGAUUGGAUGGUUUAGUGAGACCCUCGGAUCGGUCCCGACUCGGGGUGGGCUUCUGCCCCGGUCGUGGUUUCGCCGAGAAGACGGUCGAACUUGACUAUCUAGAGGAAGUAAAAGUCGUAACA